GGUGCGGUAGCCAAGUGGUAAGGCCGCAGUCUGCAAAACUGCUAUACGCCGGUUCAAGUCCGGCCCGCACCU
rnacentral:tRNA from 1 species